rnacentral:lncRNA from 1 species
UAUUUUUUUUCCUUUUUUCUCCCCAAGGCCCCCCAGUACAUAGUUGUAUAUUCUUAGUUGUGGGUCCUUCUAGUUGUGGCAUGUGGGAUGCUGCCUCAGCAUGGCUGGAUGAGUGGUGCCAUGUCCGUGCCCAGGAUUCGAACCAAUGAAACACUGGGCCGCCUGCAGCAGAGCGUGCGAACCUAACCACUCGGCCACAGGGCCGGCCCCAAGUAAAACUAUUUUUAACAACAUAUUAAAGGUAUUUGGUAGAAGAUGCAAUUUUGAGUAAUUUCAUCACUCACUCCCACACGGAUGAACAAAAAUACGCUUAAGAAAAUUUUAAAACUUCUUUGACCCUGGAUUGGGAAAAUUCAAGAGUGACCUGAGAGGAAUUUAGAAACAGGAUAAACAGCAACAUCACAAAGAACCACCACCACCUAAAUGGAAGCAUACAGGGCAGAAUAACUCUCUUUUGACUUUGUUCACAGCUGCUAAACAUCAUGGCUCCCCACCCCCAAAAUAUCUCAUAUUUCCCUGGUCUCGUUCUCUUUUUAACUAUUGAAUGAUGGUUGAUGUGGCUGUUGCUGAUAGUAUUUUUUAUAGUACUUCUGAUUUCUUAAACUGCUUUGAUAUAUUUUACACAUUUUAAAGAAUGUGGGAAAGCAUCCUUGUCCCCAUAUUAUAGAUGCUUCUUGUAUUGUUACUGAAACCAAAGUGUGUUCGCUUCUGGGCGAGUUACAUCACACUGUCCACUAGAACUGGUUGUCUCACAAAGUAAGGUACAUUGCAGGUAUGUCACAAAUGUGCUGAAAUAUGUUAGCAUUUUCUUUCAAACUUCAAUGUUUUGUUUAUUUCAUCAUAGAAAUACAUUAUUCUUUAUAUGAAGUGAAGACAAUCUAUGAACCCAUUCCAUUGUGGAAAAUAGAAAUCAAUGCUUGUUCCCAGUAUAUGAAGGCCAUUAAUUGGUGUAACUCUUCUGUUACUCUUAAUAAUUAUAGUAUUCGUCUCUUGAUUUCCUUGGGUUUUCUAGUUUCUUGAGGCAAUCACAGAGUCUGCAAAAGAAAUGAUGAUUUUAUGUGCUAUUUUGCUCUUUUAUUUCUAUUUCUUCUCUUACUGUAAUGAUUAGAACACUCAACAUCACUGCUACGUGACAGGAAGGAUAGCAAUCAUG